AUACUUACCUGGCCCCGGAGCGUCCAUGAGCACGAAGGUGGCUUCCCCAGACCCAGGCUUAUCCACUGCCCUUCAGAGGAUGUGCUGACCCCUGCGACUUCCUCAAAUUUGGGAAACUCAACUGCAUGGUUUGUGGUAGUGGGGGACUGCGUUUGCAUCCCCAC